UUUACAAGUGACCUAUACAAGUAGUCUAUAUGUCAGGUUUUACCAGGAUUCUCUCAGUGUACUACGUAUUCAAGUUGAGGAUUUGACCAAGUACAGUACAGUCUUAGCCAUGACUGCUUUGGAUAACAUGGGUGAAGGCUCAGUACAAGAAGGAGGAAAGUCUCGUCUCUCACUGCGGCAGAGUCGUAAACGCUCUCUCAAUUCAGACAUAUCUCCAGCUCCUGAACCUCGCACCAGUCACCGUUUUCGUACCUCCAGCACCAGUGACUCUGACGACAGGAAUAAAACACCACCCAUGUUACGAAAGAUGAGUCUUGGGAGAAAUGCAACCACCAGCAGCGGGAGACGUACGGCAGGAGGUUCUGCCCAGUCAACAGGUGGUUCAAGUAGUGGGGUUGGAGAUGGGGGAUAUGGUGGUGGUCGAGUGGUUGGGGUGUGUCCUCUGGCUAACAUGGGUAACACCUGCUUCCUGAACUCAGUGCUGUAUGCUCUUAGGUUCCUGCCGGGGUUCACCCAUGACCUCCAUCACCUCCAUAUGCAUUUACAGUCUGCUGGGGACCAGAGUGAUGGUAACCUGGAACAGCGCAUUCAGUUUUUGUCUGAGCUGCAUCGUGUAUUUGUCAGCCUUGGCCAGGAGGAGAGGUCUAGUGCAGACAACAAAAGAAUACCUGCUUUUCAGCCUUACGAGUUUUUAGAGGCUCUGAGAGUUGUUAAUCCAAUGUUUGAGGGUAAUCGUCAACAAGAUGCUCAUGAACUACUUCACUGCCUCUUGGACCAACUGUGCCAUCUGCCACAAGAUCUGCGGCAGGGCAAGCCUAAUGGCACACUUGGCACAGAAUUAACAGGAAUGGAACAGGAAGUUGACCUCAGUCCUCCUGAACCCAAAAGAUUGCGUAGGAGAUCAGAGAGAAUACAGGCUAUUGAAGAAGAUUCCAGCAAGGCCGUUGAUGUUGUUGGUUCUAAAUUUGUUGGCCGCAUGUGCCUAGAAACUUGCUGCUCGGAGUGUGAGCAAGUUACUGGUCGUGAGGAGAACUUUUUAGAAGUUUGUGUUCCGGUUAAAACUAAAGCUGAUUUUGAUGAGGAUGAGAAUGUGAGUGAACCACAAGUGUUUAUGUCUGCCCUGUGUGAGGAAGAAUGCUUACGAGACAACAAUAAGUAUUGGUGUGACCACUGCUUCCAUCACAACGAGGCGCGCCGCUCCGUCCACUACUCCCAGCUGCCGCAUCACCUCGUCAUUCACGUCAAAAGGUUCAGCUCAUAUCAUAGAAAUAUGUUCACUGCCAAGUGUAGCGAAGCCAUGCCAGCGCCUCUAGAACUGUCCUGCUUCUGUCGGGGUUGUCUCACAGAACAGAUUCGGAAGCAGUCACUGGCUGAAGUAGGAAGGGACAAGGGACCUAAGUCAAGCUCAAGUAGUAAACCUGACACGACUCCACACCUUCCUUACCAUCUUACAGCUGUUGUUUGUCACCUGGGAGCUACUCUGUCAUCUGUGCCCUGCACUCAUCAGCAUGCCCGGAGCAGCAAGUACAGAACCAGACACAGCCACAACCACCUAACACUAGCAAGGUGGUGGACUGUCAGUGGAUGAAGUGCUGUGGUCUACAGUUAUCUCAUAUCCGUCCUCAUUCAGUUUUAAAUGGUCACAUUGACAGUGAAGAAAGUAGGAACAUGGAUGAACAAGAGAGUAUGUGGCUGGAGUGUGAUGAUGACAAGAUAAAAUUGGUGAGCGCCUCCGAAGUUAGUGACAUGAUGCGAACUACCAUUAUUACCCCAUAUCUUCUCUUUU
rnacentral:misc_RNA from 1 species